UUCAGCACACAGGCCGUCACGGGGGUCAGCGCCCUGCGAUCUGAGCCUGCCUACCAAGGAGGAUCAAGCCGGCUGAGCAAGCACAACACGACACAAACCACUGGAGUGCAACCUUAGGAACAGGCCACAGCAGCCCUGUCGAGAUUUACAUGGGAGAAGCAGAAUCAAGCAACCUGAAAUAUUCCGCUGCUGGAGUUCCCUGGGUCAUUCUACUUACUGUAAGAGACAAUUAAGAUGUUCGAAGAGGACCUUAGAAGCUACAGCGGUUCUGCACACAAAGGCUUUGUGUGUACCUGAUUCUAUUGCUGGCAAAGAAUCUGGGCCACACUGGACACACACAUUUCAGGACAAGUUGUAAUAUAAAUUAGUAAUCUGCAAGAGAAAAAUCUCAGAUCCUAAAGUACCUAUAAGUUCAAGAUGCGUUGAGGCCCAGAUAGAACACACAGUAAAACAGAUUCUGAAGAUUCCUCACGGAAGCUCCCUGGUCCUGCCAUUGCUCCUGGUUGUACCUCCCAGGUGGCCCUGCCUGUGCUGUAAUUACUGUACGUGCUUAAAAAACAUGAACUGUCUCACAGAUUUCCCAGCUUCCCCAGGCUGACUCGUUCAUUUGUAGUCUACUGAAUGUUGACUGAGUAAAGGACAUGGCAGUGUUAAGGUUAAGAGAAGGAAAGGGUCACCCAACAAACUUCUCUGAGCGCAUUUCAUCCUUAAUGCAGUCCAGUCCUCUAGAAACAAGAUCCAGAGCUGCCACGGAAGGCUCUCACUUACUCACAGGUGGCUCUGUAGCCACAUGGUAUCCCACCAGAUAUGCCAACUGCUUCACCUCUUUGCCAGUGACAGUCCAUCUUGAGGACUUUCAACACUGCUGGACAAUGUGAGUUAAUGCUCUUCAAUAGGAUGUGCUGACUGGGUCGGGCACAACAGGGUGUCUCUCACACUGGAAGGGCUUCUUCAGGAAGGGAGAGAGGGAUGGAAGGAGGAAGGAAGGGAGGGAGAGAGGGAGGGAGGGAGCGAGGGAGGAGGUAAGGAGAGAAAGGAAGGAAAUAACGUAGAAAGGGCGCGUGCCACCUCCAAGCUGGACACGUCACACCUCCGCCACAGCUUUUCCUCUCUUCUUCCCCCUUGUACCUGCUGAAUGGAGAAGUUUAAGGAUUGAAAGAAACUUCUAAAGCCUAAGUUGCUACUUGGAGGAAAGUCAACCAGUAGACUCAGGCAACUAAGCUAAAACUGUAAUACAAACAACACACUUUUCAUUUUAUUUUUAAAUCGAAAUUUGAAAUUUUGAAAUUCUGUGUUGUUUCUUAAAAUUCUGCCAGGGGCCAUUUAAAUUUUCUUUUCUCUUCUGGGAAGGAAUGUACCUAAAUCUUCCCAGAAAGAUGAGAAAGUUAGUCCCAAUUCAGUCUGAGAAAACUGGUGUUAUUCCAAAGAUCUUCAUGGACUUGAGCUGGAAUGGGAAAACCAGGCUGCUGAGACUUGGUAUGAAUUUGAGGUCUGCUGUUCUCUCCCUGUUUCUCAUCUACCAGGCAUGGAAAAGACACUGAAUAAUUCAAUUCCAAAAACAAGUGUUAAGCCCGAACUAUGUGCAGAAACCAACCACAGGAGGGUCUCCCCUAGACACUCCGUGGAUAGCCGUCCUCUCUGGUUCUUGUGAUGAGGGUGGUGCUCCAGGGAACAACACAGCUUAUUCAGACAGUUAACCGAAGACCUGGGAACAAGAAAUAAUUCAGUUACGGAGAAAUGGAAAAGGGACGUGAGAAGGUGAUGCAGCAUGGAGGCAGGAAGCAGAGCUUGGAAAGACCCUCGAAUCUUUCUGAAGGACCUGGAAGUGAUUCCCGUGGAUGGGAGGCUUUGACUUAGCCUUCGUUUCAUUACUGCCCCGAUUCUUUACUCUUCCCUUGUAGACCCUACUGUGUUACUGUUUAAUUACCUUUUCAUUUCUUUAGCUCUUACUUAUUUAAAGUAGCUAGGCUAUUUCCUGCUUUUGCAUAAACAAUUUGAAUUACAGUCCCAUAAACUGGGUACAAGCAAAAAGGGAAAUGUUUUCUCCUUCCCCAGGCCUGGCUCCUUUGUUAGGCCCUAAACAGAGUCUUAUGGGCCCUGGGCACACACAGACCAAGCAAUACAACUUCUAGAUCUUUCUCUACGCAGUUAAGCACAGACCACAAUACAGUAGCUUGUGUUUCUACACAUUGCUUUUGGUCAGAUGUGAAGAAAAUAAAUAAAUUUUUGUGAAUUCUGAAAUUGGCUGCCACAGAACAAGGUUGCAUAACCGGUUUCUCUGCAGGGAACACCCAUUUUUCUGGGAAAAUUUGGGCACAUUCUUUCCUAGAAGAGAAAGGAAAGACUAAGUGGCCUUUGGCAGAGUUUUAGACCCAAUUGUUUAAAAAUUUUACAUUACCAAGAUGAAAUGGUACAGCUGUGAAAAUUUCGAUUUCAAGUUGCCCAUAGUCUCCAAACAAUUCAUAGCUCUCUGGCAUACCCCUUACUCAGCCUGAGAUGCAAACUUUGUUAACAGCCUCACUUGCAAAACCAGGUGAAUGGCUCCAUCCCAGCUCUUCCUGAGGCUACUGCAGGCCUAGAUCUAGUGCUAUCAUUCAAGAGAUAACCAAACUGAGAUGGAAAUCCUAAUUUUGUCUUCUCUGACUCCUAAGGCUUAAGCAAGCUAGGUAACUUUGCUAGGUAAAUGUUUAUCUCUAAAUAAAAGAAAAGACUUAGGUAAGAUUCCCUUCUCCUUCACCCUCUUGACUCAUCUCAUUCUUUACUUUGUAUCAAGAUACAGUCUUUGUUUCUAUCUUCAUCUUUAAUGGAAGACUGUUUUUAGUUUUCUUAAAGCAUUAUAUUGAGAUUGUUCCUGAUCUCCAGUCUAAACACUCAACAACUGUCUAUUACAUUGAUCCGGUUCGUUUUCCUCACGGAAUUCAUCAUUACCUAAAAUUUUAUUUUUGAAAAAACUUAUUCGCUUGUUGACCUCUACGCCUCUCUAUAUAAUAGACCAUAAAUUUCAUGAGCGCUUGAACCUUGUCUACUUGUUCAACACUGCAAGGAUAGUACCUCACACAUAGUAUUCCCCUAAUUAAAUGAAUAAGAAAGUGAAUGAAUCCAAUAUGCACUGUGGGAAGUGUCAGUGUUAGAUUGUGCUAACCUUGUGGGACUCUCCCCGAGAAUGGGAUGAUUCGGUCCAAUGAGAACUCUAUCCAUGAGAUAAUCCAGGACUGAGGAAGAAGAAAGAGGGUAAAGAGGAAAUGAAGUCAGAAGGACUAAGGAGGAAGAAUUUCUGCGAGCCUUGAUGGAAGCAAACUUGGUAGUGACUAGACAAACAUCUGCACUUCCUUUUCUGUACCUCAAGGAUAUUUCUAAUACAGGCAAGGCCUGCGGCUAUUCUUGUACUUCUUAGGCCAAUUGGAAAGCAUCUAUUUAUCUCUGCAUCACAGUGAUACCGUGGUGUUGUGAGUAUUAAAGUGUAGAAACCCCACAGCACCCUGAUACAAAUUAAGUAACAGACACGGCUCCUGGAUCUCUCUCCUCCAGGCACCUUCAGCAACUCCUUCUCUACUCCUCAGCUCUUGUUCACAUCUACACAUACACUCACAGCUUUUACCUUUAAAAUAAUCCUUUAUUCCUGCAAUUUAUUUAUCUCUCUGCUCCUCUUCACAAUCCAGAUUCCAAAAAUAACCUGACCCUUUGACUAGUUGGCCAUCCAAAAUACAGUUACAGAGACCGCUUGAACCAAGGCCACCAGCAAUUUCCCUAUUGUCAAUAAAUUACUCUCACCUUAGUAUUAUUGGCUCAAAACCUUGACCCAUAAGCUACUCAGAAUAGCUACUAUAGCAAAAAAUUGUUUUUGAAAAACUUUUCAGACUUCAUCAAUCUAUUUUAACACUAUAGAAAAAAAAUUUUUAAAGCAAUAAGAUUUGGCUAAAUAUUUAGAAGGUGACAGGAAGCAUAUAACCAAUUGGUAGAAUAUGUUUUAGCAAAUCAGAAAAUAUUUUAUAAGUUUCUACAACAUAAUGCCUAAAUGUACAUUAUAAAUAUAUUUAAUAAUAAAAGCCAUGCUAUUUUAUUAAUGUAAAUUGUCAUAUAUUCAGACUUGCAAAAGACAAUUUUCAAAGAUAUUAUUUUUCUAAAUAUACCUCCAAUAUUUGUAAUUGUAAAACAAGUCCAAGAUGUAAUUAUAUCUACUUUUUUAAAUCCAAAGACACACGCAAAAAAAAAAAAAAUAUGUCUCAAAGUCAGAGUCUUAACAGAGGCAAAAAGCUGUUGGGAACAUUUUAGACAACAUUAAGAUAACAUAAACACAGAAUUUGGAACAUAAACAUAGAACUUAAAUUAGGAAAAAGGAUAAAUGUGAUGAUGCAGUGGAAAUCAUCAUAAACAUUUUUUUCUUCUUAGAUUGUGGUAAAACAUAUGUAACACGUAAUUAGCCAUUGCAACCAAUUUUAAGCGUAUAAUUCUGUGGCUUUCAGUACAUUUGUUUUGUUAUACAAUCAUCUGUAUUUUCCAUUUCCAGAAUAUUUUUCAUGUUCCCAAGCUGAAACUCGAUGCCCAUUCUACAGUAACACCCAUUUCCUUAGAUCUUGGAAACCGCUCUUCUACUUUAUGACUCUGUGAAUCUGACUUUUCUAGAUACAUCAGAUAAGUGCACUCAUCCAAUAUCUGUUGUUUGUGAAUAGCUUAUUUCUCUUUGCAUGUCUUUUUUCAUCCAUGUUAAGAAUGAAUAAUAUUCUAUUGUGUGGACAUCUCA